AUGAGAGGAUAUGAAGCUAUUUUGCUUCUGGGUGGAAUGUUGUCUGGUUCAAGGUCUCGCUCUGGUUUGAGGAUGGAAAACUUUCAUUUCUCUCAGCUUCCUGCGAUCUCGGACCAGGCUUCAUUCCCCUCAGAGAUAGCUUCAACCAUGAGAUCUAGAUAUAGUAGCCAGCCAAGAUUGUUGAUGUUUGUUUCCUGUUCUUCCCCUUUUCUUCUUGCACUUCACAGUGCUUUAUUUGUUUCUUGCGUAUGUUUGGUGAGGACCGAGGUUGCUCUCACACUUCCGCUGCGUUUUUUGUUUGUUUGUUUACGUUUAGUCGGAACGGAGGAAGUUCUUACACACUUGACUGCACUAUUUUUGUCCGUCUGUUGGGAGAACCGAGAAAGGUUGAAGAUUGCUGUAAUGAUGGCUUGGCUUUGA
rnacentral:rRNA from 1 species